rnacentral:rRNA from 1 species
UACGUAGGCAGCAAACGUUGUUCGGAAUUAUUGGGCGUAAAGAGUGUGUAGGCGGUUGCGUGUGUCUGGUGUGAAAUCUCCCGGCUCAACUGGGAGGGUGCGCCGGAAACUGCGCGGCUAGAGUACUGGAGAGGAUGGCGGAAUUCCUGGUGUAGCGGUGAAAUGCGUAGAUAUCAGGAGGAACACCUGUGGUGUAGACGGCUAUCUGGACAGUCACUGACGCUGAGACACGAAAGCGUGGGGAGCAAACAGG